AAGCCAAAAAUGGGUCAUUCUUGUAUUAUUCAAAGACCCGGCUCUAACCUAACCCUCGAAGUCUCUCCAUUGCCGCCGCUGCGAAGACUCACUCUCCAAAUCUCCAGGCGAUUGUCAACCGUACUUCCGACCGAAAAAACACCGCAAUGCUCGUCGAGAUCUCUGCCCGAUUUCCCGUUAAGAGCAUUACCCUCCAGCUGCAACGAUUUUUUGGGGCGACCUCUGAAGUACGUUCGGCCGCCACAUAACCAGUAACACCAUCCUUACACCCCCGCCGUCGGCAAUAGAUGACCAGUGAACUACCUUCUUCAUGUUAGGUAAGUAAAAAAAAGGCAACAUAUGUGAUUUUUAUUUUUAUAAAUGUAUUUUAUGGGUGUAAAAAUUGAUUCCCCUUACGGCAUUCUGGGCAUGAGAUUAUCUAUUGCUUGUUUUAUGGGUUUAAAAAUCAAACCAUGUUAGUAGUUGAUAUUAAGAACGAAUGUUUGGGAUAUAGACAAUAACUUUUUAUCGUGUAAUUUUCAUAUGUACGGUUUGUGGAUUUUGGUUUGGGAUUUACUGAUGUAUAUAGGAAAAUCCUUGGGCUGCGUUCUAUCUUCUGCGUAAUUGUUGUAUGUAUUGCUUGUGGGCUUUUGGCUUGAUUCAUGUGUAGUAUUUGUAGCUUCUGGGAAUUACUAAUGUAGACAGCAGCUUCUGGGAUUUACUAAUGUAAACAGUUCAGUUCAGUUCAUGUAAAUUUUCUGCAUAAGAUUGUAUAUACAUGCACAAAUUAAAGAAAAAUGGAAGCAUGAAGAGCAAAGUUGCAAGAACUUAACUAAAUUUUCAAUUUUCUUGGCUUAAUUUGAUUCAGAAUGGUUGUGGCUUUUGGUUUAUGUAAGGUAAUGUUGGUUUGAUUCAAGAUUCUUGAUUUGAUUUGAUUCAGAACUAAAUUGUCAAUUUUCAAGAACUGAUCUGAACUGUUUGUGGCUUUUGGCUUGCUUCAGAAUGCUGGUCUCCAUCCAUUAUAAUGUGGUUGUGUUAUGUGGUUGAACCAGGAUACUUCGAUGGCGGGCAAGAAUAGGGGAAUUUGCCAUGGUUGUAGAAUGCUGGGACAUAUGAUGUCGGAAUGCCUCAAAAAGAAAAAAUGCCCCGAUUGUGAUGCACGGUUCGUCAAGUGGAUGGAGGUGGAAAAGAACAGUGAACAUAAAGGGCUAUUGUUUCAUUGUUGUACCCGCGACUGUGGGUUCUUCAAAUGGUGUAAAAAUAAGCCCGGUGAAAAAUGUACAUUUCAUGACGAUGGAGACUCAAGUGGUAGUACAAACAAAGAUGAGCAUGUGGACGAUUUGUCGCAUAUGUUAAAAUCACUUGUGAAGCUCACGGAUGAGAAAGACUUGGAAAUUUCAUUGAAUAUAAAUAUGCGCAAGGGGAAACGAGUUUCGGAAGAUUUCACAUGAAAUCCGAUGUUUUCGGAAUGUGAAACUUAAGUGUUUGUAUAAGUAUGUAGUACGGCAUGUGUUUAUGUAGGGUAAUGUAGUAUGUUAAGCUUGAGUUUGUAGUAGUUUAGGGUAUGCGGCAAUGUCAUGUUAUCUGAACGUUGUAACGUCAAAUUAUGGCUGUGGCAAUGUAAUCAAGUUCUUUAUUCCAAUUUGUUCCUGUGAAACGGGCAUGUGUUUAUGUAGUAUAAUAAAAUCCUAAAAUAUAAUUAAAAGGAUAAAAUAAUAAAG
rnacentral:lncRNA from 1 species